UGGGGAAUUUUGGACAAUGGGCGCAAGCCUGAUCCAGCCAUACCGCGUGAGUGAAGAAGGCCUUCGGGUUGUAAAGCUCUUUCAUCCGGAAAGAAAUCGUGCAGAUUAAAACUCUGUAUGGAUGACGGUACCGGAAGAAGAAGCACCGGCUAACUACGUGCCAGCAGCCGCGGUAAUACGUAGGGUGCGAGCGUUAAUCGGAAUUACUGGGCGUAAAGCGUGCGCAGGCGGUUUUGUAAGACAGACGUGAAAUCCCCGGGCUUAACCUGGGAACUGCGUUUGUGACUGCAAGACUAGAGUGUAGCAGAGGGGGGUAGAAUUCCACGUGUAGCAGUGAAAUGCGUAGAGAUGUGGAGGAAUACCAAUGGCGAAGGCAGCCCCCUGGGUUAACACUGACGCUCAUGCACGAAAGCGUGGGGAGCAAACAGG
rnacentral:rRNA from 1 species